AAUAGGUAAUCAGAUGUGUACUAUAAAGGUUGGGGCGGGGGGGCUACCAAAAGGAGAUGGAGGAGCGCGAUCGAGGAGCGCAUUGGACAAUCAGUUGAUAGACAAUUGGUGAAUUGGGAAUUCCAGAAUGAGACGAAGAGUCCGGAAGUUGAAGCGAAUCAGGGUGCACAGAGCCAAGUGCAGAGCCGGUCUUUCACUGUAGUGGCUUUGGGACGCGAAACGCGAGCAGCUGAACACGACCGUCCAAGAAGUGCGAGUCGAAGAGAAGCAGAGAGCACGGGCAGUCUGAGAGCGAUACACGGCGAGACGUUGAGCAUCGUGGAGCGCUAUAUUUAACUACUAAUCGGCUAAGUGGAACUGGGAAUGUGUGCAAUACCCAAACAACUCUGAACCUGAGGGGGGAGUAGCGAUUGACUGCCCAGCCAAAUGUGGGGUCCAGUGGUUAAAGAAAAGGACUUGUAACCAGGAGGUCCCCGGUUCAAAUCCCACCUCAGCUACUGACUCAUUGUGUUACCCUAAGCAAGUCACUUAACCUCCUUGUGCUCUGUCUUUCGAGUGAGAUGUAAUUAUGUGACUCUGCAACUAAUGCAUAGUUCACACACCCUAGUCUCUGUAAAUCACCUUAGAUAAAGGCGUCUGCUAAAUAAACAAAUGGAGAGAGUUUACGAGGCUAUUAGUCUGUCGGCUCAGACUCUGUGGUAGUGGUGCCCCCUGUUGGGGAAGGGGUAAUUGAGCAGUCGAAAUUGGGGUGGCAGGAGACUGGAACCACAUCCUCUACCAAUGAUCCAGCCAGGGCAAGUGCAGUAUUGAUUGGGAAUUAACUGUGUGUAAUUAUUGCUUUCUUUUAUUCUGUAAUUUCAUAACAAAUCAUUGAGUUUUUAAGCAAGUCUGUUCAAAUUUAAAACAAACAAAAAAAGUAUUUACAUUACUUCCUGCCUGUUCUCCUUGGUGUGGGUGGUGGGCUGAUUGCUGUCUUCCCUCCAUGGAUGCCUUGAACCUGUGUGUAAUAAACAAAUAGAAACCAAGUAUAAUAGGUUGGAAUUCCUUAUUUUCUAUAAACAUAAUGUGGUGUAGUCUGGCGGUAUUGCUUAUAGGGGGUAUUAGAUUAUUUCACCCCUCACCUGCGACAGAUAUUUGGCGAUAUUCUUCUGAUGACUGUCGGGUCAUAGCACAAUGUAUUGUAGACUGACAUCCUGAAUCGAGCCACACAAUGGCGCUUUAGUAGUACUCUACUACCUAAUGAAUCAUUCUCAAACUCAUUUCAAUCCGAACUUGCUUUUAAUCGAGAUUGUGAGUGAUCCUCGUAUCUUAUGGGAUGUAAUAAAGGGCUUUAUUAGAGAUACUGCUAUAUUAUUUGCCUGUAAUCUUAAUACAUCACGUUUGGGCAAAAUUCGCUCUGUUAGAACAUACUUUACGGAGCUCUUUCUCGGAAACCACUGCGCUUGAAUCGGAUAUUGCUAGGAAGGAUCUUAAUAUUUUAUUUAGACGACGUGCAGAGUUCCUCAUUCUUGGGACUAGACAGAAUUAUUUUCAUGGCAGCAGAGCGAGUCACCUUUAGCUUUAAGCUCCACAACGAAUGUCUCGCAGACAUUCCAUAUAGCUUCGGACCCACUUCUAAUGAAUGCUGAAUUUCUGUCAUUUUAUUCUAAAUUGUAUAGUUCAGAUAUCUCAGUUUCUUCAGAGUCUUCAAUUGCCACAUCUCUUGGUUGAUGAAUCAGCUGCACUGGGUGCUCCAAUCUCUCUGGAGGAGAUGAGAGGCGGUACAAGGUAUGAAUAAGGGCAAAUCUCCUGGUUUUGAUGGCAUACCUCCUGAGUUUUCUCACUUUUGUAGAGAUGUUAACAC